rnacentral:siRNA from 1 species
UGACACAUGUCACUAGGGGUGUC